CUCAGUGGUGUUCGUGUGUCUCCUACACAUUGGCAUGCGCGCCUUGGUCAUCCUGCUGCUCCUAUAGCUCGUCAUGUGUUACAUCGCCAUGAGCUACCAGUUGUGUCAAAUAAAACUGCUGAAACUAUUUGUGAUGCCUGUCAGCAGGGCAAGAGUCACCAACUUCCGUUUUCAGAGUCUAGUCGUGUUGUGAAACAUCCUCUUGAGCUUGUUUUUUCCGAUGUCUGGGGUCAUGCCCAAACGUCUGUUAGUGGACACAAUUAUUAUGUCAGUUUCAUUGAUGCUUACAGUCGGUUUACUUGGCUUUAUCUUAUUAAGAAAAAGUCUGAUGUGUUUGAUGUUUUUCUACAGUUUCAAGCACACGUUGAG
rnacentral:rRNA from 1 species